rnacentral:rRNA from 1 species
AGGACGAACGCUGGCGGCGUGCCUAACACAUGCAAGUCGAGCGGGGACAUGCGACGGAGUCGAAGUUUCGGAUGGAGACAAAGAUGUAUUGUUCUAGCGGCGGACGGGUGAGUAACGCGUGAGCAACCUGUCCCUUACAGGGGGAUAACACAGCGAAAGUUGUACUAAUACCGCAUAAGACCACAGAGUGACAUCGCUCAGGGGUCAAAGGAGCAAUCCGGUAAGGGGUGGGCUCGCGUCCGAUUAGAUAGUUGGUGAGGUAACGGCCCACCAAGUCGACGAUCGGUAGCCGACCUGAGAGGGUGAUCGGCCACAUUGGGACUGAGACACGGCCCAAACUCCUACGGGAGGCAGCAGUGGGGAAUAUUGGGCAAUGGGGGAAACCCUGACCCAGCAACGCCGCGUGAGGGAAGAAGGUUUUCGGAUCGUAAACCUCUGUCCUUGGUGAAGAGGAAGAGACGGUAGCCAAGGAGGAAGCCCCGGCUAACUACGUGCCAGCCGCCGC